GACAGAGGGUGCAAACGUUGUUCGGAAUCACUGGGCGUAAAGCGCGUGUAGGCGGCAAUGCAAGUCGGAUGUGAAAUCCCGCGGCUCAACCGUGGAAGUGCACCCGAAACUGCAUAGCUAGAGUGUCGGAGAGGAAGGUGGAAUGCUUGGUGUAGAGGUGAAAUUCGUAGAUAUCAAGCGGAACACCGGUGGCGAAGGCGGCCUUCUGGACGACGACUGACGCUGAGACGCGAAAGCGUGGGGAGCGAACAGG
rnacentral:rRNA from 1 species